GGAAGUGCUAUUAUCAUAAAGACAUUAUAAAAGUAAACAUAUAAAUUGUCGUAAUUUUAUAUCAUAUAUUAAAUUUAUUUUAUAAUAAAAAUAAUUUUAUAAUUUAGUAUGCUAGAUUAAAUUAUUAUAAAUUUGCUUUCGUGGGAUCUCUGUGUGUGAAACAUUUCUCUAAACAUGUUUUGAGUUUUUUCUUUAUAUAAUCGUGCAGAAUCUCUAAUAAGCAAUAUGAUUCUGUAUCAACUAAUAAGGUACCAUUUGGCUAUUAAGAUAAGAUAUGAAUUUCUUAUCCCAAUUUUCAACUCAGUUGAAAUCAUAUUACCAAACGCCACUGCAGGAUACAAUAAAAUCAAAAAUUUUGAGUCUCAGUUCACUGUAGCCGAGUUGAAAUAAGUCUGACAGGAACAACGUUGUUUUUAUGAGUACUGUCCUUGAGUGUAGGCUACCGUUGUGGACUUUCCCGGUUACCAAAGCAUCUUGCUCACUGCAGCACUCUUUCUCAAGUUACUCCAAAAAGAAAGCAGACAAUGAAACUCAGCUGCAACAAUACUCACACGACUCCCUUCUUCCAAAAAUGAAGAAAUCCCCGACUGCUGAAAUCCUUCCUCAACAUUUGUUGGUCACGCCGCUGGGUUUGUUUCCACUCUAUACGCAUGUGCUGGUGAAAGAAGGUGAGGAAAGCUUGAGACCAUCGAUGGCUUGAAAGUGAGAUUACCAGUGACCCAGUAGCUUUUCAGUAGAUUUUUCUAUGUAAUUUGAUGUGAUUCGAUUUUUACAAAACAUGCCUAAAUUCAUCUUAUUUUAUGUACCUUCAUUGUUUGGAAUGUUUUCAUGGCCGUGCUAAUAUUUGACACACCCAACUCUGCCUGAUAUUUUUCGUAUCCUUGAUUGGUGUCAAUGUUGAGGCCGUGCGAAUAUCAGUACAGAAAACCCAUGUGUAGGACACCAUCUCCUCUUUAUAUUAGAGCGGAAUCUCUCUGUAAAGGCUAUUUCUUAUCAGCCUGGAGGGUGAGUGAUCUGACCUUUAUGCACACAGUAACCACACGUGGAUUCUUUGUACGAUUUUCUGCGACUUUUCUCAUUUUUCAAACAACAAAUGGUGUAUAAAAGCAUUCACCUCAAGCUGGCCGGAAAAAUUCCCAUGAACUCCAUCAAAAAAAAAUCUGGUGCUCACAAACCUCCCCUUCGUCGCCGUCAGUUGUGGACCACCACAGGUCGUAGGACAAGGUCCUACCAGAUAACCUUCUUGGCCCCCAUUAAUUGAUGUAAUUUUGGAAUGUUGGUGAAAUUUGUUGGCUGAAUAAUUGAAUACAAUUAUCACGUAUUGUAUGAGGCUGUUUCUUGAAUGUCCUCUACUUUCUUCUCUCUUUGUCUCAUCUCUGUCUCUGUCUCUCACACUUAUGUUGAUCACUGUCAUAACAUGUAUAAUAGAAUCUGUUUUGCUUGCUUGUCUGAAUUCGUAACUUGCCUUUCCUUCACAACCUGGGGGUGUAGUUGUUGUUGGACUUUCCUGAAUAAGCCUCCCGAUUGAGUGUGAAGUAGAGAUUCAUGCCCAUGUCUAGGUCACAAUUGGUAGCACCUUUAAAAUAACAGAUCCGGUUCUACAAAAGUGGUAAAAUUAGACUAUUAUUGGGUUAUCCCUUUCAGGUCAUUGUCAAGUGUGCGAGUAUGAUGUAUUACGAAGCAAAUGUGUACAUAUAUGGAGCUUGAGAUCAUGGACUUGGAUUUCUAUACUUGUAUAAAACAGAUUGCUACUUGUACAAAUACUGUUUUAACAACAUGCUAAAACAUUGAGGAGUAACGAGAAAUCUACCCAAAGGGAGUGAUAAAUAAAUUACCUAUGUUGUUUAAUGUUACUUAGGCAUGACAUUAGAGACCUUUUCUAUAUAUGAUACUGCUAGAGUAUGGUGGAUGUUAUAAUCUUUAGAAGCUGAUCCUAGACCAGAAAAUAAUGUUUAUUGAGAAAAUAGAGAAACACAUUAUAGUAAUUAAUGAAAAAAUAGAGAAAUUUGCCCCGAAAUUUCUGAUAUCACUAGUGUCGAUGCUAAUUUGAAUCAUUGCCAAUCCAAUGCUCUUAAAGGCUAAGUAAUGCCCAGCCAAUAUGCAAGGCUUAGGCUAUAGAUCACCUCCCUUGGUGAAAAGUAGGAACGAUGUAAAAAUCCUAUCUGAAAGUGUCUAUUGAGUAUGUUGCAUUUAGGCCGUGGAGAGAUGGGCAUCAAGAUGUCUCUAUAAUUUUUUCCAAACUGGAAACCUAUUUGGAGAUGGAAAUCUCAGAAUACAUGGAAUAAUUCCUAUGAUCCUGAUUUUGGUGCAAAGACUUUGUUUUUAUUUUGUUUCAAGGGAGAACUAUGAUGCGAAAGUCAACAUAUAACAAUGCUUAACCUACUGUCUUUGGCAAUAUUGCCCCAAGGUAAAGUGAGUGAUCCAAUGAGUAAAUUGGUUUUAGAGUCCAUUUCUCUCUUGCACUGUCCCAGAAAAUGUGACAGCUUGAAAGACAAAACCCUCAUGAUCGAUCAGAGAGAGAGAGAGAGAGAGAGAGAUAGAAUCCCUGUGUCCGAGCGCUGACAAACGCCUUUCAGAUUUGUCUAAACGAUAGUGUUCAAAGUUAAAAUCCCCUUCGAGACAAUACCAUUACCCUGCAUAUUUGGAUUUGUUUGCAAGAAGGGUGGAUUAUAAUACUAAGCGAUUUGGAUUAAUUACUAUUGCAUUCACAUUAUAUAGGACAAAUUUAUUUAUGAACCUCCAUAUCAUCUUAUUAAACAAAAAACUAAUAGCUGGGUUGAGAUACGAAAAUCCAAAUAAAAUUAUGCAAGAAACAGAUGUGCAUGAAUGUAGAUAUGGAGGUUGAUGGGUUUAAGAAACAAGCUCUAUUCUCGUGUAUUUUGCUAGGCUAAGGAAGAAGUGGUAAUUAAAGUGUGGAUUACAUUGGAAAUUCCUCAAGAAACGAGCCCCCCACCAAACAUCAACUACUCACGUGAUUUUGUGUAUAUUUUUCAUUUUUUUCUGCAGUCAUUGUUUAAACCAGAGUAGCCAAGUUCUUUAUGACCUGCAUUGUAUUAUUACUAGAAAUGAAAUUUUGUGCCAGUUAAAAUGGAGAGAGUUUUGAAGUUUCUACACUCCCUGGAUAGACCAAAGUAUCCAACUUGUUUAUCACCUUCAAUUUAUUGUUAUGAAACCCAAGAACUUGUUGAGAGAACAGAUGUCAGUUUAACCCGUGUUUAAUUUAUUUUUUUCCUAACUUCUCACAUGGUUUUAUGUUGUGUAGCCUUACUACUUGCGCUCAUCAUCUACGUCAUCAUCUCGACAGCACCAUAUGGAUGACCCGAAUGAAGUGAUACGUGAUCGGCUAUUGUGGGAUGAUGGGAUGGAGGAUGUCCUCAUUAAUUUCUUGUACGAUGAUUCUAUUGCCGGAAGAAUUCGGGGUGGGAAGAUCAGCCACAACGACCAUGUUCGGCUUGCUGAACGAUUGUCCGAUUAUGAGACGAAGAAGUUUAACUCUGAGCAAGUCAAAGGAAAAAUUGCUCGCCUGAAAAGAAGGCAGAGAGAAUUCACAGAUCUAAUGAGGCAAACAGGGUUGGGUUGGGAUCCAAAUAGGAAGGCUUCAGUGGCUAGCGAGGAACACUGGACAAACGCAAUCAGGUGAGAAACUCAUUCAAGAAUUUUAAGAGUAAUGGAUGCCCUCGGUAUGAAGAGCUAUGUGUUAUCUUUGGGUGUUCUGUUGCUAUGGGAACCCUCCAUCGAGCAUCGACUAAGCCCGCCCCAACUAGUGAGGAGGAGGACCUACUUGACGAGGAGCUGCGAAACCGAGGAGGGCCAUGCCAAAAUGAUGAAGGGGGCCCAUCACCACCUUAUCCCAUGUAUGGUUCCACGCAAUCAAUACGACCAUUAUCUGCCUCAUACAGUAGUGGAUCUAGUCGACGCCAGAGGCCGGGCCUUCCCACUCAGCUGUCAUGAAUGAACAAAUGAGCAGGACCUUGGAGGCAAUUGAGAAAAGUUCUGAGGCGAGGAGAAUGGUUGUUGAGGAGUGGAGGGCCUCGAAGCGCAGUAGAGACAACAACAUGGAGACUGAAGGUGUUGUGUCUACCGAUACUCAUACGCGCUACUUUCAGUUGCUUGACGAAGUUGAGCCUCGCCUGCCUUUUGAUCAAUGGCACAAGGCCUUUAAUAAAUUAACCGGUGAUGACGCAUUGCAGAGGUCGUUCGUUGCGAUCUCUGCGGAGCGUAGAGCAGAGUGGCCUGGAAUUUAUAACAAUGUGUUCUUGUUGAUGACUGUUUUAAUAGAUCUCUUAGGAUUUAAUUUAUUUGCACGUGUUUAGUUGACCACCUUUAUCGCGGACAUUUGAAUCUUAAAACCAAAGUUAUCAUUUCGUUAUGUAUGUUUAUUCAGACAAUGA